UACGGAGGGUGCAAGCGUUAUCCGGAAUCAUUGGGUUUAAAGGGUCCGCAGGCGGUUCUAUAAGUCAGUGGUGAAAUCUCUCGGCUCAACCGAGAAACUGCCAUUGAUACUGUAGGACUUGAAUUCGGUCGAAGUGGGCGGAAUAUGACAUGUAGCGGUGAAAUGCUUAGAUAUGACAUAGAACACCAAUUGCGAAGGCAGCUGGCUACACGAAUAUUGACACUGAUGCACGAAAGCGUGGGGAUCAAACAGG
rnacentral:rRNA from 1 species